GAGUGGGAUGUUGCGGAAGAGAG
rnacentral:siRNA from 1 species